AUGUGGUGGAACGAUACGAUGGUGAGUGGGGGCGCAGGGACAUGGGGGCGCCACAUGGGGUCGGGAAGACAGUUGCGGCGGAUUUCGUUUUUUCAAGUCCGUUCGCUGCAUUCCCAGCCCGGUGUCGUGCCGAGGCAGCAAGGGGGCGCUCAGGCUAGGAGGUUGUUUACA